CAUAGGUUAAUGAGGCGAACCGGGGGAACUGAAACAUCUAAGUACCCCGAGGAAAAGAAAUCAACCGAGAUUCCCCCAGUAGCGGCGAGCGAACGGGGAGCAGCCCAGAGCCUGAAUCAGUGUGUGUGUUAGUGGAAGCGUCUGGAAAGGCGCGCGAUACAGGGUGACAGCCCCGUACACAAAAAUGCACAUGCUGUGAGCUCGAUGAGUAGGGCGGGACACGUGGUAUCCUGUCUGAAUAUGGGGGGACCAUCCUCCAAGGCUAAAUACUCCUGACUGACCGAUAGUGAACCAGUACCGUGAGGGAAAGGCGAAAAGAACCCCGGCGAGGGGAGUGAAAAAGAACCUGAAACCGUGUACGUACAAGCAGUGGGAGCACAGAGCAAUCUGUGUGACUGCGUACCUUUUGUAUAAUGGGUCAGCGACUUAUAUUCUGUAGCAAGGUUAACCGAAUAGGGGAGCCGAAGGGAAACCGAGUCUUAACUGGGCGUUAAGUUGCAGGGUAUAGACCCGAAACCCGGUGAUCUAGCCAUGGGCAGGUUGAAGGUUGGGUAACACUAACUGGAGGACCGAACCGACUAAUGUUGAAAAAUUAGCGGAUGACUUGUGGCUGGGGGUGAAAGGCCAAUCAAACCGGGAGAUAGCUGGUUCUCCCCGAAAGCUAUUUAGGUAGCGCCUCGUGAAUUCAUCUCCGGGGGUAGAGCACUGUUUCGGCAAGGGGGUCAUCCCGA
rnacentral:rRNA from 1 species